rnacentral:rRNA from 1 species
GAUGAACGCUAGCGGCAGGCUUAACACAUGCAAGUCGAGGGGUAUUGGUUUUCGGACCAAGAGACCGGCGCACGGGUGCGUAACGCGUAUGCAAUCUACCUUUUGCAGAGGGAUAGCCCAGAGAAAUUUGGAUUAAUACCUCAUAGUAUAGUACUUUGGCAUCAAGGAACUAUUAAAGUCACAACGGCAAAAGAUGAGCAUGCGUCCCAUUAGCUAGUUGGUAAGGUAACGGCUUACCAAGGCUACGAUGGGUAGGGUCCUGAGAGGGAGAUCCCCCACACUGGUACUGAGACACGGACCAGACUCCUACGGGAGGCAGCAGUGAGGAAUAUUGGACAAUGGGCGCAAGCCUGAUCCAGCCAUGCCCGCGUGCAGGAUGACGGUCCUAUGGAUUGUAAACUGCUUUUANACAGGAAGAAACACUCCGACGUGUCGGAGCUUGACGGUACUGUAAGAAUAAGGAUC